UUUGAUGUCAUCUGUCACAACAAAGAUAGAACAUAGGUUUGCCAUAUCAAAUGUAUUUCUUCCUUGAAACUUGUUCUAAACUCCACCUGCGUGUUGGCAUGUUGGUGUUUCUACUACUACGUUCAUUGUUAUUUUUACCACAACCAACUAAUAUCACCAGUGGGAAAAUGCAAGCACGAUUUUACAGCCCUCCACAGCAUCAAUCACUUCUAAACACAAGAAAAGAACGGGUAAGUGCAACUGGCAUCACCAACGAGAAUCAUGUCUAUGGUAUAGCAGCCCAAUGUUGUGUUUAGAGAGUCUGCUCUCAUCAGGCCCCAUAGCACCACUGAGCCUUUCUCAUCAUCCUCAUCACUGAGUUCAGCUUCAAUUGCUUCUUUCGUUUGUGUAAAUGCUUCUGUUAGCUUCUCCAUCUGGAAAAGUGAAACACCGUAAGUGAAAAACAAGGAUAGAAAACUAUCUGAGUUCUUUGAUUGUUAACAUGCAGCUACCCAAGGAUCCUCACCCGAUGGUGAACCGUGGGCGGUGGCAGUGGUGGAAGGUCAAGAGGUAGGGGGGUGGCACUGGUCAACUGCUGUGACAAGAAAAAAUCACCUCGAAUGAGUAAGAUGAAGCAUGUGAUGGAUGUAUAAUGUGCAUGCGUUUGAAAGUACAGGAAAAGCGGUGGGCAAGAGUAGAGCAGCGGACAACACAUAUGCUUGCAAUAGUCAAAGGUUAUAUGAUCAACAUUAUUGCGCAUCCAGCGUGUCAUAUGUCCGGGCAAAAGUAUCGCAUGAAGAGAGAGGAGACUGCACUUACGUCGAGGGGCGGUGGCAGCAGGACGCGACCAAGAGGCACAGUGGGUGCUACAGUGGGUGGCAGCAGGACACUCUGCAAAUUGAAAUGUGAUCAGCAAAUAUACAUGCUAAAACAAGUUUUGCAACAUGCAUACAGUAACAGAAAUGGUUCAACCAUUCAAGAGAGUUUUGAAGCGCAUCAAAAUCUUAUAAUCCAUGCCUAAAAGUACUACGUGAAUCUAAAAACACAUCAUUGAAUUAUUAUCAAUAACAUUUUAACUAUAUACAUAGCACUAAAUCAACAACAAGCUAUUCCAAAUAAAAGAUCCACCACAUAAAAUUAGCAGUUAUCCACGUGAUUGCUAAUGUACCUAAUGAUAAUAAUUUCAAGCUUCAUGAUUUCCUCUCAGAAUAAUGCAUUUUUAGUGCACAACAAAGAUGUUUGCAGUCAGAAGCUCUAUAAAUAGUGUAAGUACAAUCAACAAAUACAAAUUUCAAAUCCAACUUCAGUUUGCAUUGCAUCAGAAGAUUUAAAACAAAUUAUUGUUGGUGCUAAUUGGAGUUGAUUACAAGGUGUUCUACAUGAAAACUCGGACGCGCAUGCUCCUUGUAUCACAUUGACAUCUGGCCCUUCAUCCUAAUUAAUUAAUGUUCUUUUUAUUCGCUUGGGUAUUCAGUGAAAUAGGUAAUAGCAUGUAAGUACAUAUUGCAACAUUUCUGUACCCCAUGUGAUCUGAGUCUGUGACACAUAGCUCAGAUUUACGACAAGCUAAUUAAUGUCCUGUACCUCCUCCUGGUCUAAAGGCGCAAACACAUGGACCGCGCACUGAAUCAAGAAGUCGCUCAAGAUCCCCGUCCUGGCGAGACCACCAACAGACUACUUUGAAGCAUAAGCCCAUACAAUAGAUUAUACAUGCAUGUAGGCCAAGUCGUCCCAGUCAUCAGAAAUCAAUCUUCUAGGACUGAAUCAAUAAUCAUAGCUUUGAAGCAUAAGCCCAUACUACAGAUUCUAAGACUAGCUAAUCCUAAAUCUGUACCUCUAAUUAACUAGUAUUUGGUUGUGCCCAAUGUAACCCUCGAAUUUAAAAGUCUGAUCACCAGCACUAUGUUUAUCCUUAUUCUCUAUGCUGAAUGACAUUCACACGAAUCAACUUUGCUGUCCAUUUAUAAAUAUUGGCCUCUACAAACAUUGUCUCAAAUAGUGCGUAGUCACAUUAAUAUCGGCCGACCCCAACUGCAAACAUCCCUGGCACAAACUGGCACAAAUACCUGCAAUUGAAUCUGACUCUCCUAAGAUCAAGUUGAUGCCUUCCUUCAACAAUUAAUGUCCCCUCCCCCGCACCCCCUGCUUUUGCGAUCAAUUAUCCAUCUGAUCCUGCCCCCGAUGAACAUACAGUUCAACAAGGCACGCACGAGCUACAUGAUGUGCAUAUCUCGAGGGAGGCUGCCGAACUUACCGAUGGGGGCGGUGGAGGUAGGAGGCCAGAGGAAGGGGGCGCGGUCGGCGCUGCAGAGGAUGAUGGAGGGAGGCGGCUGGACGGAGGGCCCGUGGUCGCGGCCGUUGGUGACGGCGGGAGAGGCCCGCGCGGAGGAGGGGCGGGGGUGGCCGCUGCUGGCGGUGGCGGCGGUAGGAUCCCGGGCGGCGGAGAGGCGG
rnacentral:lncRNA from 1 species